rnacentral:lncRNA from 1 species
GCCUGAGCAGACCCCGUGGCAGCUCGGGGGGUCCUUCCAGGGGGGCAGUCUCUCCAGGUGUGCGAGCACACACGCACAUGUGGACACAAACACACAUGCAUGGACAUGCACACAUGUACACUUGCACACAUGAACACAUAGGCACACACGUGUAUGCACAUUCCCAUGUGAAUACAUAUGUGCACACAAACAUAUGCACACACAUGCACAUGCACACCUGUGCACACACAUAUGUACACAUAAAGACAUAUGCACCCACAUGUGCAUAUACGCACACAUAAACACAUGCACACGCAUGUACAUCCAGAAACACAUAUACACAUGCACAAGUGUGCUCAUGCACACAUGCACAGAUACAUGUGCACACAUGGACACACAUGACCACAUAUGCACAUGCACACACAUGCACAAACACACACACACAAACACACGCGUGCACACAAACAGGUACACAUGCACACAUAUAUAUGCCUACGUGCACACUCAAACACACAUGUGCAUGCAUGUACACACAUGCACACUCAACCACCUUUCUGCACACACAUGCCCAUAUGCAUACACACCCACACAUGCACACACUCUAACACAUACACACAUGCACACACUCGCAUACAGUCAAACGUAUGUGAACACAUGUAUACACAUGCACAUCUGCAUACACACACUCAUGCACACUUACACACACCUGUACACACAAACACAUGUGCACACACUUCUACACAUGCAAAUGUGCACGCAAACACAUAUGCAGACACAUGCACACACAUGCAUACACACGCAUGCACAUGUGCACGCACACACACAUGCAGACACACGUACACACAUGCACACACACGCAUGCACAUGCGCAUGCACACAUUCACCGCUUGGGACAGAGCCGGCGACGCCCGGGGAGGGGCUGCCCCCCAGCCCACGCUGGGCAGGGCGCAGGGUGCAAGGCAGGGACCCCCGCUGGAAGCCCCGGGCCUGGCAGGCCAAGCCAAGCUGCCGGGGCCUGCCCGGAGCGCGGCUCCGCAGACGGCGGCCUUGCAUAAUGCUGCAUGAGCUCAUCGGGCUUGAACAAUGAGGAGCUGCGCGCGCCUGGCAGUGAUCUCACGCCGCGCCUGUCUCCGGCUGGGGGCCUCCGCCCUGCCCGGAUCGGUGCACGCCUCUGCCGCGCGCACUCGGGACCCGGCGAAGGCUUCUCUGGCCG